AUCUGUAGGAUGAGGAUAAAAAUAGAACUUACCUCCAGGGCUGCUGUGAAGAUGAAACAAAUGGACGGAUGUGCAGCUCGUGGUAGCUCCUGAGCCGGCCCUGCAUGUCAGUGUGCUGUUGUCACUGACGAUGAAACUGGCUUAGAGAGGUUGGGUGAUAGGCGCAAGAACAAAUUAGCAAAAGAGAUGAGCCAGAACUCAAACACAGCCUUAGGACUUCUCAGUGGCUGGUGCCCUUCGGUUGUGAGACCACUCUCUCCCCUGCCUAUACAAGUGCCACGAAAGAGCGCUCUCCAUUUCUUUGUUUAAAAGAGAACUGAGUAAAUGUUAAACGUGAAGGACAUUUGUCAUUUGUCAUGGGUUUUACUUUGUUUGGAGAGGGUGGACUCUGUACCUCUUGAAAGGUGUCCACAGCAUAGCAAGGACCUGGACAGCCUCCAUGGUUUCAUCACAUUCUCAAUAUCCAGCCUUAGAAACAGCUCCCUUUAGGUCCCCAAAUUAACAGGAGUUUCUAAAGGAUAGCAGCUUUUUUUGCAACUGCUGCAUCGGUUAGAUUCAUGUUCUCUUUGCUGCCCCCUCCCCAAGCUUCUAUUUCAUGAUCUUUUUGUUUUGCUCGACUUUUCCUCUUUUUAAAACCUCUGCAUUGGCCACCCAGGACUUAAGAGGAACUUUCCUGGAAAGCCGUCUGAAACAGGAACAAAUUGCACAGAAACACGGAGAGUUGGGAACUUGUGUGUAUACCUGACAUAGUGGGAGACGGAGGCUUCCUUCUGAGUAAGAGAGAAGAGUGGAUAGUCUAAUUGCUGAGUAGUGGUCAGGCCUCUUUUGCUGAGCUUGGUAUCAAUGGGAUUUUUAAAAAUGGUAGCUAUUUAAAAGUACUCUCCAUGUAAAGGGUUCCUGUUCCUUUGACCCUAUCACAGAAUAUUCCUAUUUUUCUAUUGAGGAGGUUCAUAAGGUUUCAUGGGCAAGGGCUGAGAUGACUAUUGUGUAGUGUAGUUGUUUUAAAUUAAAAAUUUACCUCUAGUUAUAGGUGCUACCUUUUAUCUACCCUCAGUUUGGAGAUUACAUCAUGCAGGCUGGGCACAGUGGUUCAUGCCUGUAACCCCAGUGCUCUAGGAGGCCAAGGUGGGAGAGUCGCUAAAGGCCAGGAGUUACAGACCACCCUGGGCAGCAGAGCAAGGCGUCAUCUCUACCAAAAAAAAUUAGCUGGGUAUGGUGGCACUUACCUGUAGUUUCAGCUACUCCGGAGGCUGAGAUGAAAUGAAGUCAGACCCUGCCUCUAAAAUCCAUCAAUCAAUUAUGUGUAUCAGGCAAAUGCUUUCCAUACUCUUCUUGUUAAAAUAUCAGUUUGGUAAAGAUGAUAAAAGCGUAUCACAUCCCAGGAAGUUGAGGCUUCUGUGAGCCAAGAUCGCGCCACUGUACUCCAACCUGGGGGACAAGAGUGAGACCCCAUCUCAAAAAAAAUGAAAAUUCCCUUCCAGAGUAUAAAUCACAGAUUAUGUUUUUAUAUUUUUUUUUCAUAUUUAUCUUGAGUAUCCAAAAAUGUGAACUAAAAGAGUUGGGGUCUAAGUGGCAAAGUGCUGCCGUGUUACAGGUUAAGGGCUUCCAUGGAUUGUGUGAUAAAUACAGGUGUGAAUUUGGGUGAUUUGUUUUAUUUUUCAGUGCCCAUUAAGUAGAAGUUUAUAUUUUCCUCCCUCCUCCAUCAAGAGGCCCCCUCCCCACCAUGUGGCACAUGGAGGCCCCAAGUUGGGAAGCACAUUCACAGCCUGAAGCUGAAGGACAGGCUCUGAAAAAUCUUUCUUUCAGCAAAACACCUACCAAUCUCAGAAAGUGAGCUUUGUCACCACUGAUACGCUGUCAGGUGGGAUGAAAGCAAUUUUUCUUACUCAUUUUGCCCAGUUGUCAAGAAAUGCUGCUCUUCUCUCUGACAUAAAUUAACAGGUUUGGCUACAGCCUAGAGAAAUACAAAAUGUCACAUUUGAGCCUUAGUGGCCGGUUUUCAAAGGGGUGCCUGAGUGUGAACACCAUGUCGGCUGUUCUGUUAAUGUGGCUGGGUCUCAUAAAUAGGUAUUUUUCUGCCCCUGUGAUGGACAAAUCUGAAACAGUUUUUCCAUCUCACAACCCCAGGGGAUGAUAUUUAGAGGCUGAUUUUUGGCAUCUCAGUUCCUGGUAAGGAAGAUGAAUUCCGUAUUUGAAAUUUGGGGACAAACAAACAUAACUCUUUCUCUUUCCUUGAAGGGUUAAUGCUCCAACCAGCCUCAGAUUGGUUCGCUUGAAUCUUAAAAUUACUUUUCUGGUCACGCGCGCCGAAGGUCUAAGCAUUUGUGAAAUGUCUUUUUUCCCCCCCCCCACCCCUUGAUGCUGUUCUCUUUGGGCUGUCUUAAUUACACAGGGGUUGAGAAACCAAAUUAAAAUUAGGCGUGUCUGGUCAACAGUGAUCACGUUGCAUGCUUUUAGCUUUGCUUGUUGAAGUUGCUUCUCCUCCCUGAGUGGCUUUCCUCCUUUUUUUUUUUUUUUUUUUAUUUUAAAAAGGAAAUAUCAUAAGCUCUUUCAGAAAUACUCACAGGAAGUGAGUGUCCGUAUGCUGGUUACUCACCAGCAACUGAGUGUUGGCAGGUGGAGAAUGCUACCGCAGCCGCCCAGACAGAUCUGCAGACUGGCCCCAUUGCAGAGGAUUAGACACAGGGUGCGUGGAUCAUAGGGUUUUUGUACAGAAGGCAGUUUUAAGAGGAAAUUGGUCACUGCAUGUCAUCUCGAGGGGUGGUGAUUCAGGGAGCAGGGCUGGGGGUCAGAAGGCACGUGGCUGCCAUCUCGGAGGUUCCUGCUCACUUCUCAGAGGGCAGGCUGGCUUCUAAAAAUCAAUGCUCCCUCCACCCCCAAACAGCGAUUCUUCUGCAGUGAAUCACUUCCAGAAAUGAAUAGCCACAGUUUUUUGGAAUGAACGUUGUGAAAUCCCUCCUUUAUAAUGGCAGGUUUUCAGUUGGUGGUUUUAUCAGAAUUUCUCAAGAUCAAAACGAAACCUUCUCUUUAAAAAGGAAAGAAAGUACUAUCGAUACAGAAAGCAAAAGUAUUUCCAGUCUCCUACUGAAUUGUCACGGCAGACCUCUCUGUAUCUAUAUUUAGAGAUGUAUGUCCAUAUAUUUGCCUGAAUGUGUGAGUUCUUCGAAGUAUGGAUUCGUUGCCAGGAGCUGGUGAUUUCCUAUGCAGAGGUCGCUCACUACAAGAAAUGUUACACUCGGAAUUAGGAAAACAACCUAGUGUGGUUUUUAUUGUUAGUCCUGGAGGAUUCCAAAAUCUGAGUGCCUACAAAUAAGAUGAGCUGGGGAAAGGGAGCGCUGGCAUUUGGCAUUUCUACUUGCCUCUUUUCCUGGUGGAAUCCGAUCCUCUGCUUCCAGGACAAGUCCUGCGCUUGGGAUCCUUUGUACGACCAUUCACAGGUGAGUAUGUAUGACAGCAAUUUCUGAUUUCACUAGUUCUUGCUUCUAAACGCCUAAAUGGUGCUUUGUCUAGGGAAAGGCUUAUUAAAGGGCAUUUUCCCCCUGGUACAUUUAUAAUACAUUUCAUAUUUACCUACAGAAAAUACUGUAGAUGUGAUAAUAAUUAUACAAGACAACCCACAGACAACAAUGAAAGUUAAGAAUUAAGAUAUAUUCUGAUAGAUUUUUACAGCAUAUUGACAUAAAGGCAGUUUUGGUUUUGACAUACAUACACCAAAAUGAUAUUUGUAACGCAAUAUUUAAACACAAGUAUACAAGGCACCAGUGUAUUCUGGCAAAAAUAAUAUAAUUAUCAACAGUUAAUGAAAGGCUUGUGCUUUGAGCUACUAACAAAAUGUUAAUAUGUAGAGAAACUUGUGAUUCAUGAUGUUUUGGUUUUCAACUAAUGUUAUCAAAUCAGCUAAAAGUAUCAGAAGAGGACAAAGAAAGGAUGUUAAACAUGGAUAAAAGCAGAAAUUGAGAAAAGAUAGCUUUGAUAUUUAAAGUGUUAGAUUAUGGCCUCUAUAUAAUGUCACAUAUGCUGGACUGCCCCCCCCCCCCCCCCGCAACAAAAUCACACCCUCAAAUUACGAUCUUAAUUAUUCAAAGGAUGUUUGGCGUGUUGGUGGUAGAGUGGUGAGCGUAGUUGCCUUCCAGAAGAUGGUUGGUAUAUAAUUACUGAGAAUUCCUUGCUCUCUUGGGAGGUGGCUUAGUAAAAGGUUGAGUCAGGCAUACUGAGGCUGUUUAUUCAGUGUGCUAUGCUGUGCUGUGUCUGAAUGCCUGGGAGUUAAGAGUUGUUAACCUUUCCAGGGUGCUAGAUCCCCUGGAGAUUAUGAUGGAAGCCGUGAAUCCUUUUCCCACACCUGUAUGCAAACAUUUGCCUGCCCAUUUACAGACCCAAAGAAGCACCUCCAUGUACCCCACGUGAAGAAGGCUGCCCUGGACUAAACCCUCACUGUGACUCUGCUGUUCUUAAGCUUCUCAGGAAACACUGUUAUUUAAAAAGACGAGCCAUCCAGGUCAAAAAGAAGUCACUGUGGUUGCUAGGUGGGGGUGCAAAGCCAAAGACAAAGGGUGGGGAAAAUACAUGACUAACAAUAAAUAAAGAGCAUGGUUAAUACCAGAGCCUCCAAACUGAUAGCCCAGAAUCCCUCAACAUUUAGCCACGCGUAUUUGUAAAGUACGUUGUGAAUUCAGGUAGCGGGCUGGAGACUGAACAUUAAGCAGUUGGGCAGAGUUUUCAUACGUAUAUUUGUCUAUGCCUUUUGCACAAUAUAAAACUAGGAAAUCUCUUUUCAUUUUUCUAUUGUGCACGCUACCACAUUAGGUAGGACUCAAAAUCAUCUCAACUCCAGAAGUAUAAUUCAUAACAAUUAUAACAAAGCAUAAAAAUGAUUCUACAUUAGCAGAAGAAAUGUAGUAGUGAUAGAUUUAAAAUAGCAUGGUUGAGUACAAAAGAAACAUCAUUUUUAAAAAAAAAAAUGCAGCCUUUAUCACUCAUCAGCUAAACUUAAGUCAAUGCUGUGAGGCUGUUGUGGGAAAAAAAUAGUCAUGAUUCUUGGGUAUAUUAAAAGAAGCAUGACACAGAAGGGUAAGAAAACAAGACUUAGUGUUCGUCAGAUUCAUCAUUGUGUCCUGUUUGA